UACGUAGGGCGCAAGCGUUGUCCGGAAUUAUUGGGCGUAAAGAGCUCGUAGGCGGCCUGUUGCGUCUGCUGUGAAAGCCCCGGGGCUCAACCCCCGGGGUCGGCCGUGCGGACUGGCAUGCUCGAGCACUGUAGGGGCGGGUGGAAUUCCGGGUGUAGCGGUGGAAUGCGUAGAGAUCCGGAAGAACACCGGUGGCGAAGGCGGCCCGCUGGGCAGGAAGGAAGCGUAAGCUUCCGGCUGACGCUGAGGCGCGACAGCGUGGGGAGCAAACAGG
rnacentral:rRNA from 1 species